CCUACGGGCGGCAGCAGUGAGGAAUAUUGGUCAAUGGGCGCGAGCCUGAACCAGCGAAGUAGCGUGAAGGAUGACUGCCCUACGGGUUGUAAACUUCUUUUAUAAAGGAAUAAAGUGAGGCACGUGUGCCUUUUUGUAUGUACUUUAUGUAUAAGAAUCGGCUAACUCCGUUCCAUCAGCCGCGGUAAUACGGAGGAUCCGAUCGUUAUCCUGAUUUAUUGGGUUUAAAGUGAUCGUAGAUGGUUUGUUAAAUAAGUUGUGAAAUUUUGAGGCUCAACCGGAAAAUUGCAAUUAAUACUGGCAGUCUUGAGUACAGCUGAGGAAGGUGGAAUUAGUGGUG
rnacentral:rRNA from 1 species